ACAGGCGAGGGCGUUCGGCGACGUUACUGGGGCUGCACGGUGCUUGUAGCUGGGCAGUCUUAUCAUCAGAGUGGAGCCUGGUAACCACGACCUCCCCGCCAGGUCCUGUGUGUUGCUAGCUGGAGAAGGGUAGUUGAAAACUCAGACCAAGCACAGUGUUUAUAUCGGUCAAAACUGGAAAACUAUGUCCGGGCGCAGCCGAGGCUGGAGGAUCCCUUCAGGCCAAGAGCAACCUAGCAAUAUGGCGCGACCGGAUCUCUGUAGUCCUACCUCAACCCCCAGCUACUUGAACCCCAAGGUUGAAGGCUCCAGUGAGCUAUGAUCCCACCACAGCAUUGCAGCCUGCCAGACUGAGACAAAGUUUCACACUUGUUGCUGGAGUUGCAAUCUCGGCUCACCACAACCUCUGCCUCCCGGAUUCAAGAGAUUCUCCUGCCUCAGCCUCCCAAGUAGCUGGGACUACAGGUGUGCAUCACCCUGCCCAGCUGGAGUUUUGCUCUUGUCGCCCAUGCUGGAGUGUGAUCCUGGCUCACUGCAAUCUCUGCCUCCCAAGUUCAAGCGAUUCUCCUAGCUCAGCCUCCUGAGCAGCUGGGAUGACAGGCACUUGCCACAACGCCUGGCUAAUUUUUCUAUGUUUAGUAGAGAUGGGGUUUCACCAUGUUGGCCAGGCUGGUCUUGAACUCCUGACUUCGUGAUCUGUCUGCCUCAGCCUUCCAAAGUGUUGGGAUUACAGCCAUGAGCCACCAUGGCCAGCCUUUCUUUUCUUUUCAAAGCCACCCUUGGUGAUGAAAUGUAAAAUAUGCACCAGUGAAUAUUACUUUGCUGAAUAUUGCCUAGUGAAUAUUAAGUAUUUAUUCUCACCUUUCAGACAUGAACUUAUGAAUUCAACACAUGAAGACUUACAACUUGAUAAACCAGCUUCAGGAGAUUGAGAAAACUUGUAUUCCUGUGAUUUCGAUAGUGAAGGAAGUAUGGUAUACCAGAAUCACUAAAUUAUGAAAGAUGGUAGAUCAGCUUUUUGCAAAAAAAUUUGGUUCCUGAAAGGGAGAGAGGAAAUCUUCGAUUUUUCAUGGCUGUGAACCACUGCAAGUAUUGAAGAAAUAUUUACUACUUCCAGCCUCAUAAUCCUGCAGUCAUUUGGCACCUCUGAAGCCUUGGGGAGCACUGAAGCCAAGGCUGCACCGUACCAAAAAUUUGAAACAUGUGAAUGAGCUGAAUGUGGAAGGACUACCGGAAAACACUCCUUUCAGAAUCCCCUCAUUGCAUGAAAUCCCAAGGCUCGAAAACAUCUUUCAAGUGAGCAAUUGAAUUAAGUUUGUUAUUAAGAGUAACUCCAGUUAGCCUCCAUUGUCUCCAAGCCGGCUUUUGUCCUCAUCCACAACGCCUCCACACAAGCUCUGAACACCUGUCCAUGUAAAAAUAUCAAGAAAUGCUGAGGCCCAUGUCCCAGAACAACAGUCCUUUAGGUGGAUCACACAUUCUCCACUACACCAAGCUCUACUCAGUUGGAGACACGCUUUUUGCAGAAUAUAUGAAGGAACAUUUUGGAACCCAUUGAGGACUAUGUGGAAAAACCAAAUAUCCCUAGAAAAAAACAAGUUGGAAAGACUCGUUUUGUAGAAUCUGUGAAGGGAAAAUCAAACCCCUUUGAGGCCUAUGGGGAAAAACCAAAUAUCUCCAGAUAAAAACUAGAAAGAAGCUAUCUGUGAAACUGCUUUGUGAUGUGUGGAUUCAUCUCACAGAAUUAAACCUUUCUUUUGAUUCAACAGGUUGGAAACACUCAUUUUGUAGAAUCUGCCAAUGGACAUUUGGGAGUCCAUUGAGGCCUAUGGGGAAAAACAAAAUAUCCUCAGAUAAAAACUAGAAAGAAGUUAUCUGGGAAACUGAUUUGUGAUGUGUGGAAUCAUCUCACAGUGUUAAACUUUUCUUUUGAUUCAGCACAUUGGAACCACUCUUUUUGUAGAAUCUGCAAAGGGACAUUUGGGAGCCCUUUGAGUCCUAUGGGGUAAAACAGAAUAUCCUCGGAUAAAAACUAGAAAGGAGCCAUCUGUGAAACUGCCUGGUGAUGUGUGGAUUCAUCUGACAGAGUUAAAACUUUCUUUUGAUUCAGCAGGUUGGAAACACUCUUUUUGUAGAAUCUGCAAAGAGACAUUUCAGAGCUUGUCAAGGCCUGUCGGGAAAAAAUGAAUAUCCUCAGAUAAAAGUAGAAAGAAACUAUAUGUGAAGCUCCUUUGUGGCGUGUGCAUUCCUCUCACAGAGUUAAUCCUUCCUUUUGUUUCAGCAGGUUGGAAACACUCGUUUUGUAGAAUCUGUGAGGAGACAUUUGGGAGGCCAUUUUGACCCAUGGGGAAAAACCAAAUAUCCCCAGGUAAAAACUAGAAGGGAGAAAUCUGUGAAACUACUUGGUGAUGUGUGGAUACAUCUCACAGAGUUAAAUCUUUCUUUUGAUUUAGCAGGUUGGAACACUCUUUUUGUAGAAUCUGUGAAGGUACAUUUGGGAGUUCAUUGUGUCCAAUGGAAAAAAACUGAAUAUUCCCAGAUAAAAGCUAUAAUGAAGCUAUUAGUGAAACUGCUUUUUGGUGUGUGGAUUAAUCUUAGAGAGUUAAACUUUUCUUUGAAUUCGGCAGAUUGGAAACAGUUUUUUUGUAGAAUUUGCAAAAUGGCAUUUGGGAGCCCAUUGAGACCUAUGGGAAAAACCCAAAUGUCCCCAGAUAAAAACUAGAAGGAAGCUAUCUGUAAAACUGCUGGGUGACUUGUGGAUUCACCUCACAGAAUUACAUCCUUCUUUUUACUCAGCAGCGUGGAAACAUUCUUUUUUUAGAAUCUGUGAAGGGUCAUUUGGGAGUCCAUUGAAACCUACAGGGAAAAACCGAAUAGGCCCAGAUAAAAAGUAGAAAGAAGCUAUCUGUGAAACUGCUUGGUGAUAUGUGGAUUCAGCCCACAGAGUUAAACCUUUAUUUUGAUUCAACAGGUUGGAAACACUCUUUUUGUAGAUUCUGUAAAGGGAUAUUUGGGAUUCCAUUGAAGCCUAUGGGGAAAAAACGAUUAUCCCGUAUAAAAACUAGAAAGAAGCUAUGUGUGAUACUGCUUUGUGAUGUGUGGAUCCAUCUCAAAGUGUUAAACUUUACUUUUUAUUAAGCAAGUUGGAAACACUCUUUUUGUAAAAUCUGAGAAGGAAAUUUUCAAAACCCAUCAAAACCUAUGAGGAAAAACUGAAUAUUUUCAGAUAAAAACAAGAAAGAAGUUAUCUGUGAAACUGCUUAGCAAUGAGUGGAUUCAUCACACAGAGUUAAAACUUUCUAUUGAUUAGUAGAUUGGGAACACUCUUUUUGUAGAUUGUGUGAAGGGAUUUUUAGGAGCCUGACGAGGCUUAUGGGGAAAAACUGAAUGCCCCAGAUAAAAACUAGAAAAAAAGCUAUCUGUGAAAGUGCUUUGUGAUUUGUCAUUUCAUCUCACAGAGUUAUACCUUUAUUUUGAUUCAGAAGAUUGUAGGCACUUUUUUUUGUAGAAUCUCUGAAAGGGAUUUGGGGGACAAUUUAGGCCUAUGGAGAAAAACCACAUAUCCCAAAAUAAAAAUUGGAAAGAAGUUAUCUGU
rnacentral:lncRNA from 1 species